rnacentral:rRNA from 1 species
GCACAAGCGGUGGAGCAUGUGGUUUAAUUCGAUGCAACGCGAAGAACCUUACCUGGGCUUGACAUCCCGGGAAUCCCUUGGAACAAGGGAGUGCCCUUCGGGGAACCUGGAGACAGGUGCUGCAUGGCUGUCGUCAGCUCGUGUCGUGAGAUGUAGGGUUAAGUCCCGCAACGAGCGCAACCCUUGUCUUUAAUUGCCAUCAUUGAGUUGGGCACUUUAAAGAGACUGCCGGUGUUAAACCGGAGGAAGGUGGGGAUGACGUCAAGUCCUCAUGGCCUUUAUGCCCAGGGCUACACACGUGCUACAAUGGCCGGUACAAAGGGCAGUGACAUUGCGAGAUGGAGCGAAUCCCGAAAAGCCGGUCUCAGUCCGGAUUGGAGUCUGCAACUCGACUCCAUGAAGUUGGAAUCGCUAGUAAUCGUGGAUCAGCAUGCCACGGUGAAUACGUUCCCGGGCCUU